rnacentral:rRNA from 1 species
UACGGAGGGUGCAAGCGUUAUCCGGAUUUACUGGGUUUAAAGGGUGUGUAGGCGGGCUUUUAAGUCAGUGGUGAAAUCUCCGGGCUCAACCCGGAAACUGCCAUUGAUACUAUUAGUCUUGAAUUCUGUUGAGGUGGGCGGAAUAAGUCAUGUAGCGGUGAAAUGCAUAGAUAUGACUUAGAACACCAAUUGCGAAGGCAGCUCGCUAAACAGACAUUGACGCUGAGGCACGAAAGCGUGGGGAUCAAACAGG